UACGUAGGUCCCGAGCGUUAUCCGGAGUUACUGGGCGUAAAGAGUCCGUAGCCGGUUAUAUAAGUCUGCUUUCAAAGACCGAGGCUCAACUUCGGGAAGGGAGCAGAUACUGUAAAGCUAGUGGUAGAUGGAGGUUAGUGGAAUUUCCUGUGGAGGGGUGAAAUCCGUUGAUAUAGGAAGGAAUGCCGAAAGCGAAAGCAGCUAACCAUGUCUAAUCAGACUGUGAGGGACGAAAGCAUGGGGAUCGAACAGG
rnacentral:rRNA from 1 species